rnacentral:rRNA from 1 species
CCUACGGGAGGCAGCAGUGGGGGAUAUUGCACAAUGGGGGAAACCCUGAUGCAGCGACGCCGCGUGUGGGAAGACGGUCCUCUGGAUUGUAAACCACUGUCCCCAGGGACGAAGAUGACGGUACCUGGGGAGGAAGCUCCGGCUAACUACGUGCCAGCAGCCGCGGUAAUACGUAGGGCGCGAGCGUUGUCCGGAAUUACUGGGUGAAAAGGGAGCGUAGGCGGGGGUGCAAGUUGGGUGGCAAAACUACCGGCUCAACUGGUAGGCGCACUCGAAACUGCAGCUCUUGAGUGAAGUAGAGGCAGGCGGAAUUCCUAGUGUAGCGGUGAAAUGCGUAGAUAUUAGGAGGAACACCAGUGGCGAAGGCGGCCUGCUGGGCUUUUACUGACGCUGAGGCUCGAAAGUGUGGGGAGCAAACAGGAUUAGAUACCCCUGUAGUC